rnacentral:rRNA from 1 species
GAGUUUGAUCGUGGCUCAGAUUGAACGCUGGCGGCAUGCCUUACACAUGCAAGUCGAACGGCAGCACGGGAGCUUGCUCCUGGUGGCGAGUGGCGAACGGGUGAGUAAUGCAUCGGAACGUAUCCUGGAGUGGGGGAUAACGUAGCGAAAGUUACGCUAAUACCGCAUAUUCUGUGAGCAGGAAAGCGGGGGACCUUCGGGCCUCGCGCUCUUGGAGCGGCCGAUGUCGGAUUAGCUAGUUGGUGAGGUAAAGGCUCACCAAGGCGACGAUCCGUAGCAGGUCUGAGAGGAUGAUCUGCCACACUGGAACUGAGACACGGCCCAGACUCCUACGGGAGGCAGCAGUGGGGAAUCUUCCGCAAUGGACGAAAGUCUGACGGAGCAACGCCGCGUGUAUGAUGAAGGUCUUCGGAUUGUAAAGUACUGUCUUUGGGGAAGAACGGUCUUCUUGAAAAUAUUGAGGAGACAUGACGGUACCCAAGGAGGAAGCCCCGGCUAACUACGUGCCAG